rnacentral:tRNA from 1 species
GGAGGAGUGCCUGAGUGGUUGAAGGGGCCGCACUCGAAAUGCGGUAUGCCCGAAAGGGUAUCGUGAGUUCGAAUCUCACCUCCUCCG